rnacentral:rRNA from 1 species
AAAUUUGAAAUCUGGUAGCCUUCGGCUGCCCGAGUUGUAAUCUAGAGAAGUGUUUUCCGUGCCGGCCCAUGUACAAGUCCCUUGGAACAGGGCGUCAUAGAGGGUGAGAAUCCCGUCCUUGACAUGGACCCCCGGUGCUUUGUGAUACACUUUCAACGAGUCGAGUUGUUUGGGAAUGCAGCUCAAAAUGGGUGGUGAAUUCCAUCUAAAGCUAAAUAUUGGCGAGAGACCGAUAGCGAACAAGUACCGUGAGGGAAAGAUGAAAAGCACUUUGGAAAGAGAGUUAAACAGUACGUGAAAUUGUUGAAAGGGAAACGAUUGAAGUCAGUCAUGCUCUUUGGAUUCAGCCGUUCUGCGGUGUAUUUCCAUUGAGUGGGGUCAACAUCAGUUUUGACCGCUGGAUAAAGGCACUAGGAAGGUAGCACUCUCGGGUGAACUUAUAGCCUAGCGUCAUAUACAGUGGUUGGGACUGAGGAACGCAGCAUGCCUUUAUGGCCGGGAUUCGUCCACGUACAUGCUUAGGAUGUUGACAUAAUGGCUUUAAACGACCCGUCUUG